rnacentral:lncRNA from 1 species
CAGGCGUUUCAGCUGUUGAUGCGAGCAUAUCUGACUGCAGCAAGAAAAAGCCAUCCCCCGUUAAUGGCACCUUCAUUCUCGUUUUUACCAGCCUGCCUGCCUGCAAAACGUCCUUGCUCUGCGCUGAUGGCAGCCUUUGUGAUAGUUUCUGGGAAGCUGAUGCUCGCACGUGUGCCAGGGACUGGCUGGUGAGUGCAGACAGGAUUCCCUUCUGGACCAAGCCACCGACGAGAUGGGUUUUUUGCAGCUCCAGCUGCACAGGUACAAUGUAAGCUAAAUAUGCUGUCUGGUUUUCCGAAAGCUGAAAAAUGUCACUAUUGAUUACCUGGAAGCAAUCAGAAAUUUUCGUCAAAUUUUGAAAGAUUUUGGUGUGCUUUUCUUUUCGGUGGCUGCAUCGAAGUUCAGGGAAGGAAGGCUGCCCUCAUAGCUGGUGGUUAAUGGCAAUUCUGCAAAUAACUGACGCACGCAGACAUAGUUAAGACUGGAAGAAGGAGCCUUCAGAGACUACUAAAUAAGAAAGAAAGAGUGUUAGGCAGUUCCUGGAGUCUGUGAGAGUAUUUUAGAGAUAUACAGGUACAAACCCCAGAGACAAGAGCAGUGCUUUGUGGAGGAGUCACCGAGGCGCAGUGCACCAACCCCAGCGGGCGGAGGACGCAUUGUGCUCGGCACCGCUUGCUGCCAGGGAGCCCGGCUACAGGAGGAGCCCUCGCUGCAGCAGCUGCAGGAAAUUAAAUCCACAUAGAGGUUUGUUCCUGCUCUGUAGCAGUCCGGUUCAGGCAACGUGUUUCCCCCCCCCCGUGGUGCAGGGGCUGCAGAAAUGCGCUGACAUCUCCCCCUACGCGGUAGGUGUCUGUCCUGCUCUCCAUGUCCUCACGCAGCCAAACUGCCCUAUGCCCUUGCUGCAAAAGGCGGAUGCUCUGAAGCUGAUGAUAAUUCAUUAA